AGGGAUGUAGCACAACUUGGUAGAGGGUUUGUUUAGGGUACAAAAUGUCAGAGGUUCAAAUCCUAUCAACCCUA
rfam:Beta vulgaris subsp. vulgaris 0289.scaffold00750.con0004.1, whole genome shotgun sequence.